ensembl:lncRNA
AGCUUGGGCACAGGGCUGGGUCUGAGGAUUAGAGUGUCAGAACCAAGGGGCCUUGGGGGGGCGGUACUUAGGAUCAAGAGCCUAAGACCAGCGUCAGCCACCCAGCGGCCGGGCACACUGACCUGGGAGGCAGCGAGGGCGCCCACCCCGUGCAGCAGAGCCUCCGGGAGCCUCUGGGGGCCUCCUCGUCCCUGCACCCUUUCCCAGGUCAGGGACUCACGGACACAGCCACUGACCACUCCCUCUGGUCAGGACCCAGGGGACCACCAGGGGGACCCACUGCCCUCAGGCCCAGAGUCGCCAGGUGGGGCCCCCAGGUGCCACUUACAGCUGAUGGGCCGGUGCCCAGGCCGCCCACCUGGCUCUGCCCUGGGGGGUGGGGCGCUGAGAUGCAGACACUGGGGCCUACCUCUCCAGCCACAGAUUUGAAGGACAUUUGGCCUAAGAAGACACACAGACGCAGCUGAGCACGCGCACGUGAGAGGUGAGCACGCGCACGUGAGAGGUGAGCACGCGCACGUGAGAGGUGAGCACGCGCACGUGGGACCCGCCGCCUGUGUAGGGGCUGAAACUUGAGAGCCACGUGCUGGCAGGAUGUGGAGGAGCCGGAAAGCUCAUCCCUGGUGGGCGGGGUUGCGGUGGUGGGGCCGCCCUGGUGGGGCCGCCCUGGAGAGCACUUUGGCUUGAGAAUUCCAACAGACGCCGACUGUACAAUCCAGCCAUGCCCCGCGUCUACCCGAGAGAAACAGGAGCACGUGGCCGCCUGACACCAGACACACCUGUUCCAGCAGCUCCGUUUGUAAGGAUCACAAACCAGAAGCCUCCCAGUGGCCCCCAGUGGGGGAUGGAGGAGCAGACAGGCUCACCCAAACCAGGACGACUGCUCGGCGACAAGAUGGAGCCAAUGACUGGGUCGAACUACAACGUGGAGGAAUCUCAAAACAUUUCACUCAAAAAGCUGAGUGAAAGAAGCCAGACCAAAAAAGUACACAGCGCACGAUACCAUUUACGUAAAAUUCUAGAAAAUGCAAAUGGAUCUGUGGUGACUGAGAGCAGGCCUGCAGCUGCUGCAGGCUUGGGACAGGUCGUUCCCAAAGAGGCAAAGGACACUUCUGGGGACAGAGGAAGCGACUGCCGUCCUGGAAGGUGGUGACGUUCUCACGGGUGUGUGCUUGGGUCAAAGCUGAUCAAACG